rnacentral:rRNA from 1 species
GAUGAACGCUGGCGGCGUGCUUAACACAUGCAAGUCGAACGAAGCACCUUGAUUUGAUUCUUCGGAUGAAGAUCUUGGUGACUGAGUGGCGGACGGGUGAGUAACGCGUGGGUAACCUGCCUCGUACAGGGGGAUAACAGUUAGAAAUGACUGCUAAUACCGCAUAAGACCACAGCACCGCAUGGUGCAGGGGUAAAAACUCCGGUGGUAUGAGAUGGACCCGCGUCUGAUUAGGUAGUUGGUGGGGUAACGGCCUACCAAGCCGACGAUCAGUAGCCGACCUGAGAGGGUGACCGGCCACAUUGGGACUGAGACACGGCCCAAACUCCUACGGGAGGCAGCAGGGGGGAAUAUUGCACAAUGGGGGAAACCCUGAUGCAGCGACGCCGCGUGAGCGAUGAAGUAUUUCGGUAUGUAAAGCUCUAUCAGCAGGGAAGAAAAUGACGGUACCUGACUAAGAAGCACCGGCUAAAUACGU